rnacentral:rRNA from 1 species
GAUGAACGCUGGCGACGUGCCUAAUACAUGCAAGUCGAGCGAACGGACGAGAAGCUUGCUUCUCUGAUGUUAGCGGCGGACGGGUGAGUAACACGUGGAUAACCUACCUAUAAGACUGGGAUAACUUCGGGAAACCGGAGCUAAUACCGGAUAAUAUUUUGAACCGCAUGGUUCAAAGGUGAAAGACGGUCUUGCUGUCACUUAUAGAUGGAUCCGCGCUGCAUUAGCUAGUUGGUAAGGUAACGGCUUACCAAGGCAACGAUGCAUAGCCGACCUGAGAGGGUGAUCGGCCACACUGGAACUGGGACACGGUCCAGCCUCCUGCGGGAGGCAGCAGUAGGGAAUCUUCCGCAAUGGGCGAAAGCCUUACGGAGCAACGCCGCGUGAGUGAUGAAGGUCUUCGGAUCGUAAAACUCUUUUAUUAGGGAAGAACAUAUGUGUAAGUAACUGUGCACAUCUUGACGGUACCUAAUCAGAAAGCCACGGCUAACUACGUG